GGGUUGUGAGGUUAAGCGACUAAGCGUACACGGUGGAUGCCCUGGCAGUCAGAGGCGAUGAAGGGCGUGCUAAUCUGCGAUAAGCGCCGGUAAGGUGAUAUGAACCGUUAUAACCGGCGAUACCCGAAUGGGGAAACCCAGUGUGACUCGUCACACUAUCAUUAACUGAAUCCAUAGGUUAAUGAGGCGAACCGGGGGAACUGAAACAUCUAAGUACCCCGAGGAAAAGAAAUCAACCGAGAUUCCCCCAGUAGCGGCGAGCGAACGGGGAGGAGCCCAGAGCCUGAAUCAGCAUGUGUGUUAGUGGAAGCGUCUGGAAAGGCGCGCGAUACAGGGUGACAGCCCCGUACACAAAAGCGCAUGUGCUGUGAGCUCGAUGAGUAGGGCGGGACACGUGGUAUCCUGUCUGAAUAUGGGGGGACCAUCCUCCAAGGCUAAAUACUCCUGACUGACCGAUAGUGAACCAGUACCGUGAGGGAAAGGCGAAAAGAACCCCGGCGAGGGGAGUGAAAAAGAACCUGAAACCGUGUACGUACAAGCAGUGGGAGCACAGGUUUACCUGUGUGACUGCGUACCUUUUGUAUAAUGGGUCAGCGACUUAUAUUCUGU
rnacentral:rRNA from 1 species